rnacentral:misc_RNA from 1 species
AAGUCGUAACAAGGUUUCCGUAGGUGAACCUGCGGAAGGAUCAUUAAUUAAAUUUACACAAUUUUUUUGUUUUCUUUUGAAUUCAGAAGGAAAUUAAAAAAAAAUUGGGUUAACCACUUUGUGCAAAAAAUGUAGAAAGAUCUGAUCUUUCUAUUUUAAUCACUUAAAAUCUUUAAAUUAUAACUAAAAAAACAACUUUUGACAACGGAUCUCUUGGCUCUC